rnacentral:rRNA from 1 species
CAGUAGCCGCGGGAAUACGUAGGUGGCAAGCGUUGUCCGGAAUUAUUGGGCGUAAAGGGCUCGCAGGCGGUUUCUUAAGUCUGAUGUGAAAGCCCCCGGCUCAACCGGGGAGGGUCAUUGGAAACUGGGAAACUUGAGUGCAGAAGAGGAGAGUGGAAUUCCACGUGUAGCGGUGAAAUGCGUAGAGAUGUGGAGGAACACCAGUGGCGAAGGCGACUCUCAGGUCUGUAACUGACGCUGAGGAGCGAAAGCGUGGGGAGCGAACAGGAUUAGAUACCCCCGUAGUCCCUGUCUCUUAUAC